UAAACUCUCACCUAUUCCCUUUAUAUCUCCCUACUAUAAUUGUUAGUUCUGAAGUGAAACCGCCCGCCAUCCAAUCAACUGGCAUCGAUCGGAAAACCACCCGCUACAAAGCAUAAACUCUUCUCUUUCCGAUCUGGGUGUAUUAAACACAGUCCUUAAUUUCCUAGCUUAAUCAUGUACUCAUCAACCUCAUCUUCUUAUGACAAAUUCUCCACUUCGCAGCCACCAGUCUUCAGUCAAGAUACAUCAACAACUGGGAUUCCAGUGAGUACA
rnacentral:lncRNA from 1 species